rnacentral:lncRNA from 1 species
CUCAGUGAUUUGCACUCUGAAAGCAUGUGCUCUUCUGUUAGUCAUUUUAAGAAACUUUUUUUCUUGCCUUCCCACUUCAAAAAAAAAAAAAAAAAAAAAGGAUGAAGGGCGAAGACAAAAAAGAAAAGGAAAGAAAGGAGAAAUAAUUUGAUUAAAGCAGGAAGAGAGAAUAACAAGGAAGAAAAAAUUAUGUCAAAUCAAACUCCCCAGGUCUGUUCCAUCCAUUCAUCUGCUUGCUACAAGAGGAGAUCCUGUUGUUCACGGCCUGUUCACGAAAGCCCACCCUGCUUCUCCUCUGCGUACCCACAAUUUGAUAAUAAGGAUCACAACAGGGGCCAGGAAUUUCUUUAUGGAACAUAAACGGAGCAAUGGUUUUUAGUCUUUUAGGGUGAAUCCGACAGAAAACAUGGACACACCUCCCAGAAAAAUGCUCACACGUACACUCUGACCAUUUUGCAUAUAAUUCCAGCAGACUAGUAGAUCCUUCCACCUCCUCCAAACAAUUAAUAACUCCUCCUCUAGAACACUAUAUUCAGAAGAUGAAAGAAGUGUUGAGCAAUGGUUCAGUAAUUCCAGCUGAACCUCAGUUUUAGAACGAGAAAAAAAGUAGUCUGUUUUGGGAUCGACCCAGUCCACAAUUUACCAGAUGGUUGCCACUCUUUGCCUGUAUAAACACAGUCAAACAGGAAGUGCACAUAAUAUAUUAUCCAAAUUGAGACACUAUUGAGGGUGAAAGAGGCACUGACAAUUACAGCAAGACAACAAAACUAUGAUCUAUAUAACUAUGAUCUAUAUAUAUAUCUUUAAAUAUUUGGAGAGUUUAUUUUUUAAAUGUGUCAGAUCCCUAUUGUCUAGAUGACUCCCAUUUUUCUGCCUUCCAUAAGGAGCUAAUACCCAUUAGCAUAAUUAGCCCAUAAAAAGCAAUGAUCAAAUUCAUGGAUUUUUCUUCCUUUUAUACUUCAACUUGGAGUAAGUCAGUUAAACUCUACAGGGCUCAGCCUCUGCACCAAUAAAUGCACAGGUGGAAUAGAUGUGUUCUUAAGGUUUUUUUCAAGCUCCACCAUCCUAUAAAUUCAAUUUGAAAACGGAUUUUUUUUUAUCAGAAAUGCUGCUAAGUAAAAAGGUUUCUAGGCCCCCUACUUAGAAAAAAAGACCUUCAAAAUCAAAGUAUUUUUGUAAAAAGCAUAUAAGCUUAAUUGAUUAAAAAUCGUGAUAGUUUAUAAUCAAGCUUAUAAUCUACAAUAUAGUCUGUAACUUUGAAGUGUAAAUGUAACUAUGUUAAGCACAUCAUGCAUUUUUUUCAUGUAAUUACCACAAUAAGGUAGAUACCUUACUCUCAUUCUACAGACAAGAAAAACAGAACUUAAAAACUUGAC